GAGACACUCUUAUGGGGCAGAACUUGCUUCAGUGGGGCUUUGGUGCUCACUGAGUCUGCACCAUGAGUGUGUCUCU
rfam:Myotis lucifugus cont2.47298, whole genome shotgun sequence.